rnacentral:rRNA from 1 species
UACGUAGGGGGCAAGCGUUGUCCGGAAUCAUUGGGCGUAAAGCGCGUGUAGGCGGCUUGGUAAGUCUGCUCUGAAAGCCCGGGGCUCAACCCCGGGAGGCGGGUGGAUACUGUCAAGCUCGAGUCCGGAAGAGGAGUGUGGAAUUCCUGGUGGUAGCGGUGAAAUGCGCAGAUAUCAGGAAGAACACCCGUGGCUAAGGCGGUUCUCUAGUACGGUACUGACGCUGAGACGCGAAAGCGUGGGGAGCGAACAGG